rnacentral:lncRNA from 1 species
UCAAACUUUCAUUUGUUUUAGCAUUACUGUCUUUGAGAGCUUUGAUAUGCAAUAGGAUAUAAAAUUAAAUAAAUCAUAAUCUGUUCAGGCUGCUAUGAGCAAGAUCUAGCUCUUUCCUUGGACAGAUGGAAAACAUAUCCAGAGGACCAUGAUGUGAACACCAGACCAGAAAUUAUGGGCAGGUCUGUACCUUAAAAUUGAGAAGCAUGCAGCUCAGCGUAGAGGAAAACAAGGGGGCAGAGCAAUGCAGACUCUGAAGCACAGGUAACAUGAAUCUAGAGAAGAGCAUAUUGAUGUCACAGGCCAUGGAAGAACAUGGAAGACAAAAGAUGAGUUGAAGAUUCCAGUCUGAAUGUCCAGUGUGAUGAUGGCAGAGUGAUGAGGCCAGAAUGCCACCCCUUGACUUUUGGAAACAGAGAGAGAAAGAGGGGAAGGAAACUGAGCUGAAAUUUCCUGUAACACUAAAGAGUGGAGCUAUAUUUGGCACAGUACAAAGUGGCUCUCAGUGUUAAGUUCCUGUAUCCUUUUGCACAGGCCUGUUUCAACUAUCUUUCUGAGAAUCAGGAGGUUACCGGUGACAAGGCUGAAUAUCAGGCAUCAAAGGCUUUGAAAUAUACAAGAAAGAACUCAUACCUGUCCAGAGAUGCCAUUCUGAAGAGGAAUAGCCAAAACAUGAUAUGGAGAUUGUGUUGGAAAUAUUUCAGAUUCACGUUUCUCUAGUGUUGGAAAGAAAUAUGGAGGGAAGAGUGUUGUCAUCCCUUCACUGCAGAAAUUCUUUAUGAAGAGCCCUUAGAAGAAGCCUAAUGAACUUCAGAGCCCCAGGAUUCUCUGGGAUGCAGGACACUGUAUCUGCUGAAGAAGGAGGGUCAGAGAUGAGGAUCUAGAGUCUCCUCCAAGUCCCUGAGAAUGGAGGAAAACAAGUAGACGUGCUCAGCUCA